CCUGCCCCAGCUCGUGUUGCAUUCGUGGCUGCAGUGCCACGUGUGUGUCAUUCGGUGGCAGAGAGCAAAAGGCGAUGUCUUCCCUGGUGCUCUGACCUCUGUGAGCUCUCAGGAUUGCUCAACAACCUGACAUU
rnacentral:snoRNA from 1 species